rnacentral:rRNA from 1 species
UACGGAGGGUGCAAGCGUUAUCCGGAUUUACUGGGUUUAAAGGGUGUGUAGGCGGACUUUUAAGUCAGCGGUGAAAUCUCCGGGCUCAACCCGGAAACUGCCAUUGAUACUAUUAGUCUUGAAUAUUGUUGAGGUAGGUGGAACGGGUCAUGUAGCGGUGAAAUGCAUAGAUAUGACCCGGAACACCGAUUGCGAAGGCAGCCUACUAAGCAAUUAUUGACGCUGAGGCACGAAAGCGUGGGGAUCAAACAGG